UUCGCAAUGCCCGAAAGGGUGACGAAGCGACGCCGCGUGCGGGAAGAAGGCCUUCGGGUUGUAAACCGCUGUCGGGAGUUAAGAAAUGCAAGGGUGUUAACAGCAUCCUUGCUUGACUAAGGCUCCGGAGGAAGCCACGGCUAACUCUGUGCCAGCAGCCGCGGUAAUACAGAGGCGGCAAGCGUUGUUCGGAAUUAUUGGGCGUAAAGAGCACGUAGGCGGCUAUGUAAGUCGGUUGUGAAAGCCUUCUGCUUAACGGAAGAACAGCAUCCGAUACUGCAUGGCUCGAGUGCGGGAGGGGAGAGUGGAACUUCUGGUGGAGCGGUGAAAUGCGUAGAUAUCAGAAGGAACGCCGGCGGCGAAGGCGACUCUCUGGUCCGUAACUGACGCUGAGUGUGCGAAAGCUAGGGGAGCAAACGGGAUUAGAUACCCCGGUAGUCCUAGCCGUAAACGAUGGGCACUAAGUAGAGGGGUUUU
rnacentral:rRNA from 1 species